AGGGCUCAUUUCUGGCCGGUCCCGUCUGGCAUAGUCUGGACGGGAAUUUCGGUACCAGUGGCCCUGUACCACUUCCUGGGGAACUAGUCUGCCCUUUACUGGCGCGGGCUAGGGAGCCAGGACCUUUACCUUGAAAAAAUCAGAGUGUUCAAAGCAGGCAUAAUUGCUCGAAUGCAUUAGCAUGGAAUAAUAAAAUAGGACCAUGGUUCUAUUUUGUUGGUUUAUAGGACCAAGGUA
rnacentral:rRNA from 1 species